UACGAAGGGGGCUAGCGUUGCUCGGAAUCACUGGGCGUAAAGGGUGCGUAGGCGGGUCUUUAAGUCAGGGGUGAAAUCCUGGAGCUCAACUCCAGAACUGCCUUUGAUACUGAGGAUCUUGAGUUCGGGAGAGGUGAGUGGAACUGCGAGUGUAGAGGUGAAAUUCGUAGAUAUUCGCAAGAACACCAGUGGCGAAGGCGGCUUCCUGGACCUGUUCUGACACUGAGGAGCGAAAGCGUGGGGAGCGAUCCGG
rnacentral:rRNA from 1 species